rnacentral:rRNA from 1 species
AGAGUUUGAUUAUGGCUCAGGAUGAACGCUAGCGGCAGGCUUAACACAUGCAAGUCGAGGGGCAGCGGGAUGUAGCAAUACAUUGCCGGCGACCGGCGGAUGGGUGCGUAACGCGUAUGCAACCUACCUUAUACAGGGGAAUAACCUUUCGAAAGGGAGACUAACACCCCAUAGUAUUGAUUUAAGGCAUCUUAGAUUAAUUAAAUAUUUAUAGGUAGGUAAGAUGGGCAUGCGUAUGAUUAGCUAGUUGGUAAGGUAACGGCUUACUAAGGCGACGAUCAUUAGGGGUUCUGAGAGGAAGGUCCCCCACACUGGUACUGAGACACGGACCAGACUCCUACGGGAGGCAGCAGUGAGGAAUAUUGGUCAAUGGGCGCAAGCCUGAACCAGCCAUGCCGCGUGCAAGGAAGACGGCCUUAUGGGUUGUAAACUGCUUUUACAUAAGACUAACCGUAUAUUUGCGAAUAUACCUGAAUGUAUUAUGAGAAUAAGGAUCGGCUAACUCCGUGCCAGCAGCGGC